rnacentral:rRNA from 1 species
GUGAACGCUGGCGGUAGGCCUAACACAUGCCAGUCGAACGGCAGCACCGUAAGAGCUUGCUCUUACGGGUGGCGAGUGGCGGACGGGUGAGGAAUACAUCGGAAUCUACUUUUUCGUGGGGGAUAACGUAGGGAAACUUACGCUAAUACCGCAUACGACCUACGGGUGAAAGCAGGGGAUCUUCGGACCUUGCGCGAUUGAAUGAGCCGAUGUCGGAUUAGCUAGUUGGCGGGGUAAAGGCCCACCAAGGCGACGAUCCGUAGUUGGUCUGAGAGGAUGAUCAGCCACACUGGAACUGAGACACGGUCCAGACUCCUACGGGAGGCAGCAGUGGGGAAUAUUGGACAAUGGGCGCAAGCCUGAUCCAGCCAUACCGCGUGGGUGAAGAAGGCCUUCGGGUUGUAAAGCCCUUUUGUUGGGAAAGAAAAGCAGCAGGUUAAUACCCCGCUGUUCUGACGGUACCCAAAGAAUAAGCACCGGCUAACUUCGUG